rnacentral:tRNA from 1 species
CGACAGUAGUAGGAAUUGAACCUACACGGGCGAACCCGCUAGUUUAGUAGACUAGUGCAAUACCAUUAUGCGAUACUGUC